GAAGGCGUAGCUCCAAUGGUAGAGCAGCUGACUCCAGAAAUCAGCAGGUUAUGUGUUCAAAUCACGUCGUCUUCC
rnacentral:tRNA from 1 species